rnacentral:lncRNA from 1 species
GCUCUCUGCCAGAGCUCGGGACUGGUGCUGACCUGCAGGAUGGAGGAGAGAAGAGAAGACUCAUCAACAGAACAAAUGUUGCUGGAACAUUACUUAUAAUGGCAACAAUUGGAAACAAUCAAAGGAUGUCACUAUAGGGACUUGGGUUAAGAAAAUUAUGACACAUCAAAAGCACAGUGAAGAGAACUUCUGUCAAUCCUGUCAAGCACAUGAAGAUGUGAAGUUUCAACUGGAUUCAUUUCUAUAAAUAACCGAUACAAUUUCCAGAAAACCCUGAAGUCAGGAAAACCAAUGUUACUAAUGGCCUUAGGCUACGAGAAGAUCUGGUUAAGAGUAUCCUAAGGGAGGAUCUAAGCCUGUUCAUACUCUACAAGCAAAGAAACAUUAAAAAACAAAACAAAAAACCAAAACUUGAAGAAACGAAGUGACCAGUUCACUACCAUUCAACUAUUAAGGGAUAGAGCCAGGACUCAGUAUCUAGUCAUGUGAUGACAAAGCCCGCACUCUUACUGUACAGCCUCACCUUGGAUAAAUCUCAUUUCAAGACAGGUAAUUUUGAGAAUAUCUUAGGCCCCCCUUCUAUCAAAGAGAGGGAUCGAAUUUAAAAUUUAUCUGGAAUGCCAACUCUGAUUAACUCCCUGGAGAGAGUCCCUGGAGGACUGGUUGAGAAGAACCCUGAGGAUGCAUCAGUGUUCAUCAGGAAAGGGCGCCAACACCCAGCGUGCCCACUCAUGAGCAGGGAGGAGAUGAUGCAUGGGAAUCCACAACUCUAUCUCAAGUUUCCCAGACACACACUAAAGCUCUGCAGAAGAUUUUGGUGCCCCUGAGCUACUUUUACACAGCAAAGAAGACUUCUGAUGUGAUUCCUGGUGGCAGUGCGUAGUAUGCGAUGAUUUCCAUCAGAGUGGCUGGGUUUGUCAAAGCUUUAUUAGAGAUUCCUAUGAUUUGAAGAAAAAGCCAGGGUCCUAUUUUGGCAACUUUUCUGAUAUAAGUAAUAAAAACAAAAUGCCAUGAAUUUAAAUUGUUAGGUUUCU